rnacentral:rRNA from 1 species
AGAGUUUGAUUAUGGCUCAGGAUGAACGCUAGCGAUAGGCCUAACACAUGCAAGUCGAGGGGCAGCACAUGAAGUAGCAAUACGGAUGGUGGCGACCGGCGCACGGGUGAGUAACGCGUAUGCAACCUGCCUACAACAGGGGAAUAACCCGUUGAAAGACGGACUAAUACCCCAUAACACAGGGAUCCCGCAUGGGAAUAUUUGUUAAAGAUUUAUCGGUUGUAGAUGGGCAUGCGUUCCAUUAGCUGGUUGGUGAGGUAACGGCUCACCAAGGCAACGAUGGAUAGGGGAACUGAGAGGUUUAUCCCCCACACUGGAACUGAGACACGGUCCGGACUCCUACGGGAGGCAGCAGUGAGGAAUAUUGGUCAAUGGACGCAAGUCUGAACCAGCCACGUCGCGUGAAGGAAGACGGCCCUACGGGUUGUAAACUUCUUUUGUAAGGGAAUAAAGUGCAGUACGUGUACUGUUUUGCAUGUACCUUACGAAUAAGGAUCGGCUAACUCCGUGCCAGCAGCCGCGGUAAUACGGAGGAUCCGAGCGUUAUCCGGAUUUAUUGGGUUUAAAGGGUGCGCAGGCGGGAGAUUAAGUCGGCGGUGAAAUUUUGCAGCUCAACUGUAAAAGUGCCUUCGAAACUGGUUUUCUUGAGUGUGGAUGAAGUAGGCGGAAUUUGUGGUGUAGCGGUGAAAUGCAUAGAUAUCACGAGGAACUCCGAUUGCGCAGGCAGCUUACUAAACCAUAACUGACGCUCAGGCUCGAAGGCGUGGGGAUCAAACAGGAUUAGAUACCCUGGUAGUC